rnacentral:rRNA from 1 species
AUUGAACGCUGGCGGCAGGCCUAACACAUGCAAGUCGAACGGUAACAGGAAACAGCUUGCUGUUUCGCUGACGAGUGGCGGACGGGUGAGUAAUGUCUGGGAAACUGCCUGAUGGAGGGGGAUAACUACUGGAAACGGUAGCUAAUACCGCAUAACGUCGCAAGACCAAAGAGGGGGACCUUCGGGCCUCUUGCCAUCGGAUUUGCCCAGAUGGGAUUAGCUAGUAGGUGGGGUAACGGCUCACCUAGGCGACGAUCCCUAGCUGGUCUGAGAGGAUGACCGGCCACACGGGAACUGAGACACGGUCCAGACUCCUACGGGAGGCAGCAGGGGGGAAUAUUCCACAAUGGGCGAAAGCCUGAUGCAGCAAUGCCGCGUGAAUGAGGAAGGCCUUCGGGUUGUAAAACUCUUUCAGGGGGGAGGAAGAGAUUAAUGUUAAACCCUUCACAUAUUGACGUUACCGAAGCAGAAAGCCCCGGCUAACUCCGUG